GGUUCAACCUUCAGAAAUGGGUUUACACGAAGUUAAAUAUUUCAGGUCAAAUCAAAUGAAUUAUUUAUAUUGUAUAACACUAGAAUAUUAGUUGUGAUCGAUUACCUCAAUUUUUCUAAUUUGAGCCAAUGUUAGAUUUUUUUCAGUGUACACAACAAACGGGCCAUGUUUAAAAGUUUCGCUUUGACCAUGGAAGUGAGUUUUAAACUCAAUUUCCCCCUUUCCGAGAGUGUAAAAAUAGAUAAAGCCAUCGCGUGACAAACAUCAAGCGCUGUAAGUGCGCCAUAAUGAAUAUACAGGUUGAUUAGAAAAACUAACAACAUCCACAACUUUUAUCUUCCUUCAUCGUUUUCUUUCCUGCCUUGUCAUCAUACAUUUUCAUCAAUAAAUCCUUUGUCAUUUAGACACUUUGAUCACCAUCAGCUGGAUAAAUCUAGUUGUCGGCUGGUGUGAUUUGCUCGUCUUUGAGAGCCUGAGGUGAGCUCCCACACACGCUGCUCAGACGACAGACAUUACAAUGAAUGGAUUUCUGGGUAUUGCAAUCGGAAAAAGCCAAGACCCAUUAAGAUAAGACGCAGAUGAAAGAUAAUAUGAAACCUAAAUGAUCCCCGCCGGGAAAUUAGGUCGGAUACCAGAACGCAUUGUGCGGAGAUAAAAAGACUGAACAUCACGUGUGAAUAGCAGCAUAAUGAAAGUGUGUGAUGUUUGCCUUGUGCACGUUUUCAAAGAAUAUCUCGAAAAAUACGUAUAUACAAGGUGUAUAACGGAUUGAGAAAAACACCAUUUGCGUGGUUGUGAUUGAUUGAAUGUGUUUAUAGUGGUUAGUUGCUCUGUACAUAAACUAGCUUACAAUGUAAAUCAACUGGUUCCGAUGAUUUAAAUAAUAGCUACAAAGCGAAAACAAACCACAGAAGGUCAGUCUAAAAAAAAUAGCUCUGGUCCUUCAGUGCCAAAAAAUCUCCACCUAACAAAGGCCUAAAUUUGGCAAACCCGUUCCCCCGACUCGUGCCAGGAUCCUAAUAAACGACCUGCCAGUUUCAUGUGCUACAGCAGCCCAAAUCCGGCCCAGGUGCUUUCUCACUCCUUGGAGCCGGUAAGCAGUCCAAAUCGGACCCCAAAAUCCUUCCACAUCUGGCAGCCGGGGGCGCCGGAGCUGGCUAGCGUUCGGUCCCCCGGUGUCAGAACGCCACCCACUGACAUUUCCAACGACACGACUACCUGGGAUAUUUGUUUUCUUCUGUCAUGACGUUAACAUAGCAGUUGUUGGGACCUGGCUCAGCUUUCUCUCUCGGUAUCCUUAUGUGACGUUGUCACGCAGGGGCUACAUGUUUCUGACUAAUCUGUGCAAAUGCAAAAAUCAAUUAAGAAACUCUUGUCGAGUUUGUGUCUAUCCUUGGAUGCUGCUUGUUAAAAAAUGAUUUCAAUAAUUCACAAGAGCGUCUCAGCCUCGUGUUUGUCUGCUUCAAGGUCGCUCUCCUCAUUCAUCCCGAUCAGACGCUACUUCAUGCCGACCGUGUCAUCCGCAACGCGGAAGCCAGACGAGAACCGACUCGCCGCUUUUCGAGUCCUCGAGUUGCAGCCGAGUUGUGAAUUGAGGGCACGCGCUUCCCUCCCCGUCUCCUUGGCGACUCCUCGCCGGUAAUUUAGUCAGGAAAUUGUUUUGUGUUUGUUUAUGAACCGCGCGGGUCCCAGGCGACAUCAAUCCAAGAGGAGACACAACACGAAAAGAAGGUCGUACGCCUGCAGUGAUGACUGUUGUCACGGUGCUGCAAUUGGUGGGGAGCACCACCCCCAACGCACACAGCCCUUCUCUCUAUUUCCACUCCACUGACGCUCAUACGAGGCGUACUAAUGAACCUGUAUCGCAGCACAGGAGGAGUGACCGGCUCAGGAUAACACCGAGAUUACUCUUCACCUUUUAAAGAACACCCAGUGUUCAAGGUGUCUCGCACCAUCCCGGCGCCUCCGUCGCACAGGCCAUAAUCCCCCCCAGUGUGCUUCGUGGAUCUGCACAGUAGCUCACGAUAUUCCUGUAAUGCGGGAAAAUGAAAAGGUGAUCACAGCACUCAAUCUUUUCCGGGGAUUUCCUCUCGCCCUCUUGUGUCUGUCGGCUGUCUUUCUUUUUCAUUAGGUUGACCUUUCGGUUUGCAAUGCAGAGUAGUUAUUAGGUGAUAAAUCCCUGACCCGCGCGUCCAAAGAACCAACGCCUUCUAUUUCAGCAGCACGGGCUGUUCAUUUGAACACAGUUUGCACUGCAUUUUGUAAAAUAGAACGUUUGAGUUGUAAUGGAGUAGAGCAGUUAACAUUUUACUUUUGUUUUUUCCAUCGUUACUAUUGACUCAAGAUAUUUGCCAGAACAUGACUUUGGGAUUGAUCUUUCAAAGGAAAAAACAAUUAGAUUUUUGUAAAGGGGAUUAAAAGGUCAGUCCCCACUGCAAUUUCCUUCUUUUUUCAGCGUCUGUUGUUAGUUUACUCUUUGUUGUCUUCCGAUGAGUGAGCGCUCUUAUUUAUAUGUAAACGUAUAUAUAAAUCCUCUUUACAAUGAUAGCAGAACAUAUUUAAUACACCAAAAUAAUUCAACUGAAGUGGAAGAUCAAAACUGAAACAAAGAUUGUAAAUCUUACUUGAAUGUCAAAGAAUGAAACCGUUAUGCAGCCCUGAUCUCCUCAGACAUUCAACUGACUUUAAAAUCUCCAUCCCCUCGAGGUAUGAAUCCGGACCUGGAACAGAGCGUCCAAGCAUCCCAGGGCGACGUAAGGGACAUAUGACGAUCAGAAACAUCUCAUAAUCCAAUCCAACAGCAUGAGGUAGCCCGUGUAAAGAAGCCAAAAUGAGUCAAAUGUUUCAUGUUUGUACCCUUGACCAGAGUUCUAGAUGAGCUGGAGUUGGGAGAAGGAUGCCCAAAAUCUAAUCUCCCAGUCAUGGCGGCCUUGGAUAACAGUUUUUGCAUAAAUGGUCUAAUCCUUUAGAUGUUUCCAAGAUGACGAAAGCAGAAUUCAGCGAUUGAUUUGACGUUUGACACUACGUUUUUGCAAUGCUCAGAUAUUAAAUGGGAAUCGACACUCUUUGAUAUUUGGAUGUUAACACUAUCUCGACCUAGCAUCAAAAUCUCUGCUCGGUUCUUAUUCUUACACACGUCCUCUUUCGUAUGCAGGCAUUCAGCGUUCUGUUGGUAGGUUGCAGGGUCACAGCUUUAAAGCGAGGCAACACGUCAAAGCUCUCAUCGUGCGUCAUACCAGACAUCACGGCAAUGUUUAGGUUUCCUAAACUCAAUUACGAGGACAUCAACUGUGUCAGGCUAUAGAGCAAGCAUCGAUAAUAAUGUUUGAACCAAACACAGAAAGCGCUGAGAAAUACCGGCACCACAACGCGGUGAUGGAGAAGCUAGCAACCGUUCAGCAAGCAAGACAUUAUUCCAUUCUAUCUAUAGCACAACAAGUUAAGUUAACGUUUUCCUUUUACUCUCAUAGGUAGACUGUAGACUCCCACGGGACUGUUUGCUAAAACAAAUACAAAAUAUCCAUCCUGCCAGUAUCAGAGUAAUAAGGCUCAUAUUAAGAAAAAAAACAUGAAACAAGUGCGUGUGUGUUUUGACAGAGAAGGAACAGAAAGAAAUACAACCUUCAUAAACUUUACACACACAACAGGCCCCGUCCUCAUAUUAAGCUGUUCUAGUGAGCCCUGAAGCGGUUUCUGCCAACUUUGUUCAAUAUUGACUGUUGUUGUAUUUUGGCUUUCGCCUCGGCUGUGAAACAUUCAGCAGCCGACUUUUCAAUAAAACCGAUCGUAAUGGCUAAAGAGUUUAACAAAGCUUGUUAUAACAGGGUUACGAUCAAAUGCAUUGAUUGGUUGAUAGAUUUAUUGCGCCACAGUUCCAGCAUGGCGACUACUCAGAGUUUCCUGUCGGAUUGGUUUGGUUGUUCACGGCAACGGUUUCAUCGCUGCGCGCCGUACACCCGCACACUGAAACCGCGCAAUUCUAUUCAAUUCUUGCAUCUCAUUUAAAAUUCAAUAAAUGUAUUUUUCCAGUGGCUCUACCUGCCGUUCAAAAAACUUUGUCCAGGAUUGGAUGGAGUAAAAAAAAGAAGGAUUCGAAUUCAUCGAGCUGAAAUGCAAAACCCCCCUUCGCUGGAAGCUGAGUUACCACGUAUGGGGGUUAUCUCAGCAAUAUCUUUUUUAAUUAUCACCUUCGAGCAGAGGUGUGUGGAAAGAAAAAAAAAAAGAGCAAUCAACUGCCUGCUGUUUUUUACUUUAAUUGAAAACCGGCUAGCCAUCCGUGAGUGGCGGCUUUCACUCUGUGUCCCUUAUGCAGCUCAAUCCUUUUGGCCAGAAGUGCAGCUACGCUUUGACCUAUAAUUAGUGAGGCACUUUGCCUCGCUUGCUGGUGCAUUUGAGCAAAUAUCUACACAGUGACUUACUGUCCAAAAAAACUAAAUCUGCCACAGCUGCAGUGCACACAGUUGCUAAAUGUGCAGAAAAGGCCAACCGAGCGAAAAACCUGCAACACACAGAAAACAGAGUUUCUGGCAAACCCUGAAGAAGGAGUUCAAAAUAUAUACUUCCCAAACAGAAAAGAAUAUAAAGCCAUCAUAGAAAAUAUUUGGUCUGCAAAACCCCCAAAAUACUACAAUGUAACGCUCAGUAGGUUGUCGCUACUUUGAUUGCAAGCCUCUUGGCUUUUUAGAUAAUCCUUUCCCCCUCUGCAGAUCUCCUUCUCAACAUCGACACUUUAACUGCUCCAAAUUCUGCCUGCACGUUAUACUCUGACCUUGAUGCAUCUGUCUUCUGUUGGGUCUACAACUUCAAUACAUUCAAAACCCUCCAGUUAUUCAGCGGGGGGUAAAAACACACGUGACACACACAGUAGUUAUGAUCUCAUUAAAGGAGAAAAGGCAAUUAUGCGCUGAAAUAGCAACACGUGGAACAUUAGCGCAAGUGAAGGUGCCCUUAGUAGUGUGCAGAUCUCCUGCAGGGUCCACGUGGCACCGAUGAGUUAUCAGGUGUCACAAAACACUCAAACUCAACCAGCAAAUGUCGGUAUUCAACCGGCCGCAAGUGGUUGACUUUUCACACAAACUGUCAGCCACACGCGGUCCAAAGCGUGAGCAGACUGCUGCGUUUCUGGGCACCGAGUAGCGGCUAUAGGACUUGGCGCCGUGCUCGGCAGGGUUAUCACUCGAGGCCCAUAGCGUAGUGAGAGCAGUCGGUUAGCCACGUUCGACAGCAGGCAGUGUCAAUGUUGUUAGAAAAACGGCAAUGAAAGCUGUUUUUCGAGAAGUGUGAUCACCGCAACCGCGGCGGGUGCUGCAGCGCGUGCGGACGCAAAUGGCCACGCGUUCGGUAAGCGAUGCGGAAUUAUAAUUCACGCUUGAUACGUGCGACGGGAAGGAAAUGAAACGCCCGUUGAAUCCAUUCCAGCUCGUCCGUUGAAUUGUGCCGCUGGAAGGGUAAUUACAUCCUUCUUUUCUAUUUCUUGAGCGAACAGACAAAUAUGAGAUUGCACAAUCACGACCAAUCUUCAUAAAUUCAGUGGACAAAGAAAGGAAUACAAGCCAUGUUCUACGUGGCUCGCAUCCCCAAAAGGAGAUUUGUUCACAGGCACGAGGAAUCCACCAGUGUGUUGUGUGCACAUGAGGUUUGAAUCAACCAGCGUUUUACAAAUAAACGGUUUGUAGUGCAAAAUAAUAAUUCAAGAUAAACUUCCUUGAGUGUUAUUGCGCCAGUAAGGUUUUUUGCUGUAGAGAUGUGCUCCCGUCCUUCUGCCUGUAAAGUCACAUUAAGAGACGCAUUUCCUGAGCAAAACAUUCUUGUCAUGAUUAAUUGACUCGGGCCAAAUCAAUAUCGCCCGCAGCGGGAGAAAAAUAAUAGGAGGGAAGAGAGACAUGCAAGAAUCUGUCUGAAAUGUUGUGACCUUAAAAAUAAUGGAUAACUCGUACCAUGUGACUGGAAUCAAUUUAUAUAGAUGCGAGUCGACGACGAUGGAGGUUUGUGCCUCAAAGGGGGAAAAGAAGAAUGUUUGAAACUGUUGCCCGGGAGCCGUGUCAUUUCAGGCUUUGAGCAUUGAUUUUCUACACAAAGAUGUAAAAUGGCCGAGAGGUCUUUAAUAUUUUCUUGAUAUUGUCUAAUAAUGCUGAAGGAACAUGUUCCAUUGGUAACAAUAAUUCCAGUAGCCUGCAUGCUAAUGAUGCAACCAGCCAUGUGUGGUUAGUACGGAUUAAAAUUUCCAUCUUCGACAUACAAACAUUUUGUAUCAAGACACAACAACACGUAUACACAGUCCGAUGUGAAUGAUCAGUAACUCACUGUUGUUUAUUUGGAUCGGAUCGAUCGGGUCAUUUACACUAAAGCCGUUUUGGUAUAACUAUAACUAUAUAUAUCUGCUUUCAUUUUGUUGUCAUAGCAGUGAACACUUUACAUGUGUAAUAAAUGGAUUACGGCGCUGAGAAUGACUGAGCGUCUGCGGUGAAACUCGGUCAAAGUCAACAAAGUGUGUGUGUGUGUGUGUGUGUGUGUGUGUCAACUUACUCUGUUCAGGAUAAUUCAGUCGCUCAACAGAAGUUUUAUCUUUUUUAGCAGCAACAGCAGCUGUCGUCCUUCCACAAUUGAUUGUAAAAAGCAGUUUGUCUUGUCUUGUGAAUCUUUUACGGCUCAGCACCCACGCUUCACCCCCUCCGUACAGAGUCAAUUUAUUUCCCAAUUUAUCUUGUUCAAAGUUUGAAAAUGAGCGUGUAUUGCGAUGAAAAGGAAUCACACAGUAAUUUGUUUGGAGCUUGCUUGAAUGUUAUAAUGAGAUUCUGUUGUACAUCGGCAAUUUUAAUAUAUCUCCAGUGACGAUAAUGGAAAAAGCCAAUACAAUGAAUAUUAGAGCAGAAGUCAUGUCAUUGUAUCGGAUGUCUUUGUUUCUUAAUAAAAUCACCUGGCCGGCUUUUCUCUUUUCUCUUCUUCAGAGUUGAACUAUGUCAUCAAUGUGCAACCGCAACCAUUGUCACAUCUGAAUACGGUCUUAAGCCUCUAAAAUUAUUCAGAGGAGCAACAGAUGGUUCAUAAUUGGGAAGGACAUGUUUUUUUUGUUGUUUAAAAAAAUAUAUAUAUAUAUUAGUAUACUUUUUUCAAACUGCAGGUGGCAGACAAUCAGUUGGAAAGUUGUAUAAAAAUAAACACUACAUUAAGUGAAGUUUCCAAUUAGAGAAAGGAGUGCAACUUGUAAAUGGCACACAACAUGUGCAAGAUGCUAAAUACCUGCAAUGCUCAGAAUUUGCCGAAUUGUUUCGUGAGAGGUGAAGAUGUCCUUGCAAUCCCAAUUAGCAAUCGCUCUGAGACAUCAAAGAAAACACGUAACUCAGUGAGAAGCUGUGAAGGAACAAAACAAUGAGGACCUUUAUUUAUUCUCCAAUUGGCACGAUGGAGGUGGCUGUUUGGCUUGGAACAGAAAUGUGUAUUUCUUUCUUUUUCCCUGUAUGA
ensembl:lncRNA